UCCCUGGUGGACUAGUGGUUCUUAUACAGCGCACUCACUGCUUCGGCCCAGGAUCGAUUCCUGGUCAGGGAA